CUGUGUUUCAGUCUGCAUUCAUUCUCGUCACAGCUGAAUCAAAGCGAAGCUUCAGGAUCAGAUAAUGCCAGCCGUGGGCUCUUGAGUGCCACAGAUGGCUCGACUUUUCUUCAAGGCCUCUUAAAGGUCAACCUGGAUUAGAAGGAUCGACUGCUGUGAAAGACUUCUUUUCUCAUUCAAGUAACUUCCCCCGUCUGGCUCGAGUGACUACAACACAUUUGCUCCAGCAUUCUACAUUAAGAAGGUCCUGGAUGUACAGUAAUAGACUCUCCCAAGUAGGCAAAUAAAACAUUUUAGAACCCACUGUAAUCAAAGUA